rnacentral:rRNA from 1 species
UACGGAGGAUCCGAGCGUUAUCCGGAUUUAUUGGGUUUAAAGGGUGCGUAGGCGGACUAGUAAGUCAGUGGUGAAAUCCUGCAGCUUAACUGUAGAAUUGCCGUUGAUACUGUUAGUCUUGAGUACAUUUGAGGUAGGCGGAAUGUGGUGUGUAGCGGUGGAAUGCAUAGAUAUACCACAGAACACCGAUUGCGAAGGCAGCUUACUAAACUGUAACUGACGCUGAGGCACGAAAGCGUGGGUAUCAAACAGG